rnacentral:lncRNA from 1 species
CCCCACGGCACCACCAGGCUUCUGUAACUUAUAAAAUGGCGGCGUCCACAUGUAUACGUCCUUCCCGGGAUUAGCCAGGCAGCUAGAGGAUGACUUAAUAAGGAGAGUGGAGAAACUGGCCAAUUAAUGAACAUGCCCUGAUCAUUAAUCCACCACUGAAGGAAGUCAGAGCAGAAACUCAAGCAGGGACUUGAAGAAGAAACCAUGGAGGAAUACGGCUUGCUGGCUCACCUGUGCGUACUAGCUUGCUUAUACAUCCCGGAACCACUCACCCAGGGAAUGAUGGCACCCAUCAGGCCAGUGUGAUUUGAUCAGUCUCUCAGAUGACUGUAGACUGUGUCAAUUUGACAGUUAAAGGGCAUGUGCUUUGUAUUCUCUCUCUCUCUCUCUCUCUCUCUCUCUCUCUCUCUCUCUGUCUGUCUCCCCCCCUCAUUUCUCAGGUUUUUUUGAAAGUCAAGUAUGAUGUAGCCAGUAAAAGGAACUACAGUACAUAGGCCUGUAGGGCUGUGGUAGUAAGAUACGUGGUGAUUUGACAUGUUCUGAAUGUCCCUGGUUAUUCUGUCUUUUACUGCUUGUGUGCUCCUGGGUUGUGAAGUACAAUUGCCCACCCUCCUAAUUAUCUCUCCCCCUCCAUGUAAGUGAGAUGUGAU